GAAUAUCUUUGGCGUUGUCCUUCCAGAACAACCACACCUCCUCUUCGUCUUCAGCCUGUAGAGGAAUGUCCCCAUUUGUAGACGUCUCAAUUUCAAAUCUUGAGAGGACAAGCCUGGAUGUCUGCAUUGUUGGAGUCCAGCACAGCAUUGCAGAUGAGCUCCUGAGUCACUGGGAUGGAUUUACUCAUGGACACACAGAGAUCUGACAGGAGGAAGCUAGUGUUCCUGGAGAUGACCCAAGCAUGACUUCACACAGAGAGGUCCUAGCCGGAUUCAAACCAGGGCCUUCUUGCUGUGAAGCAAGAGUGCUGACGACUACAUCACCAUGAAGACCAGCUCAAACGUUACUUUGUGUGAACAACUAGUCCCUGAAUUAUUAAAAGGUUAAACAAA